CACCAGACUCCUACGGGAGGCAGCAGUGGGGAAUAUUGCGCAAUGGGGGUAACCCUGACGCAGCAACGCCGCGUGCAGGAAGAAGGUCUUCGGAUUGUAAACUGUUGUCGCAAGGGAAGAAGACAGUGACGGUACCUUGUGAGAAAGUCACGGCUAACUACGUGCCAGCAGCCGCGGUAAUACGUAGGUGACAAGCGUUGUCCGGAAUUACUGGGCGUAAAGCGCUCGUAGGCGGUAUGUCAAGUCAAGGGUGAAAUCCCCGCGCUCAACGUGGGAACUGCCUUUGAAACUGGCAAACUGGAGUGUGUGAGAGGAUAGUGGAAUUCCAGGUGUAGGAGUGAAGUCCGUAGAUAUCUGGAGGAACAUCAGUGGCGAAGGCGACUAUCUGGCACAUAACUGACGCUGAGGAGCGAAAGCGUGGGUAGCAAACAGGAUUAGAUACCCGAGUAGC
rnacentral:rRNA from 1 species